UCUGGGCCGAGUCUGGAUUCAUUAGAGUCCCCGGCGCCCAGCACUGAGUGGCAUGCAUAAGUAUUGGUGUCACGAACAAGGGUCAGCCCCCAGCUUGCCCGCAAGGAAGGGCAUCGGGCGGAGGCACCAGUUCCUCCCGGAAGCCUUUUGUCUCUAUCGCCACCAGCCCCUGGCAGUGGCAGUGGCCGUGGCCGGGCGUGAAGGCAGCCUCUCGGGCUGCAUGCCUCCUGGAGCUGGGGUCACGGCUCAGUGGUGGAACGCCUAGUCUGGGCGUGGGGCUGAGCCCUAGUGUCCUCAGGGCCCAACCAGACGAAAGGCGGCGUGGUGCGGCAGAAAGGGGUCCCAAGGACAGUCCUCGGAUCCAACUUCGAAUUACCGGCCUUCUCGCUGAGCCCUGGGAGAAACGGCGGUGCCUCGUUCCCGAGGGUGCGGAGAGGAAGAAUGAAACGUUGCCUGUUCCCUGCCUCUUAUCUUCCUCUUUAUGCCUAGCCUGGAGCUCAACUCCAGGAUUGAAGACUAUCGCUGACCGGAGUGCUUUUCACGUACUAGUUCAUGUAUUACUUUAUUUAAUCCUCAGAACAACCUCGUUAAGUAGAUAACAUUAGUAUUCUCCGUGUUUUGUAUGAGGAAACUAAGGUGCAGUCGAGUCGUGAUUCUGAAGCUUAUACCAGUAGAACUCACUGGGCACUGUGCAUUCUACUGACCUUAGAAAGAAGUAAGGUCGUAUUUGAUGUCCUUUUCUUUGGCUGGAAACCAGAGCCAACCUUGGAAAAUACAAGCUCUUAACAAGGAUAGUGCUGUGGGCGCUGGCAUUUCCAUGAUUAGAGACAGGGUCUCACUAUGUUGCCCAGACUGGCCUUGAACUCCCUGGGCUCAAGCAAUCCACCUCCCUCAGCUUCCCAAAGUGCUGGGAUAACAGGUAUGCAACUGGGGCUGUGAAUUUCUUCUGUAACAUCCUCACCCUGAAGCAAUGGAUGCCAAAUCUAAUUUGAAUAAAUGAGUGUGUGAGAUAGAAAGGAAUUAGUGGGUACAAACAAAACAAAAACACUUCUUAAUAUGUCAAAAUAUUAUCUCACCACAAGUGGAAGUUGUCUUACGCUUUAGUUUCUCCUUAGUUGCCUGACCUAAAUUACUUUUUAGUUAAUGACUUGAGAGACUUACUAUACAAAUGGACAGACCAUGCAUGACAAGAGAACUCUGAUCUACAACCGCUGCAGCAACAAGUCAGAGAAGCCGAACCACCAUCUCUGGCUUCAAUCAGAAUGGUUAGGACUUGGUCAAUGCCUGCCAGCUUCUUAAUUUCUUACUGCCACCUCCAUACCCUCUCCCUCUUCCCCCACCACCCUUCCAACUCAGGACCAACCAUCGAACUCCAAAUAUCUCUAAGUAUGCUCCCCAAAGCAAUCACAUAAGAUGCCCUGCUUCUAGUUGCCUGGCCUUUUGGAUAGCGUUCCUCAGCUUCUCCAGGCCAACAACAUCCAAUCAGAGCACACCUGAAGCCUUUCUUGUUUUUACACUGUGAAGCUUUCCCACUCCCACACCUGCCUUUGAAUCUCUGCCAAAUGCAAGUGAUGGUGGCUGUCUCCCUUACUUUAAAUAAAUAGCCUUUGUUCUCA